rnacentral:rRNA from 1 species
CAGUCGCCACGGUAAAACGUAGGGUGCAAGCGUUAAUCGGAAUUACUGGGCGUAAAGCGUGCGCAGGCGGUUUGUUAAGACAGAUGUGAAAUCCCCGGGCUCAACCUGGGAACUGCAUUUGUGACUGGCAGGCUAGAGUAUGGCAGAGGGGGGUGGAAUUCCGCGUGUAGCAGUGAAAUGCGUAGAUAUGCGGAGGAACACCGAUGGCGAAGGCAGCCCCCUGGGCCAAUACUGACGCUCAUGCACGAAAGCGUGGGGAGCAAACAGGAUUAGAUACCCGUGUAGUCCCUGUCUCUUAUAC